CUGACAUUGUGUAACUCUAUCUUAAAUUUACUUUCCCUCCUUUCACAAAAAAUUCAUAAUCUCUCUUUAUCACUCUUCAGUUACCUUUCUUCUUCACUUUCCCUCAUCCUUCUUUCUUCUUCUCCCUUUCACUCUCCAUUUUGAAUGCCAAAAUGGUAGAAUAAAGAUAGGGUUUGGGUUUGAUUCCCUUCAUACAAUCAUUCUCAACUUCUUAACUUCUCUUCGAGAUCCUUCAUUUCCACUACAGCAAGCCAUGGUUAAGGGUCAUGGUCUCUACACUGACAUCGGCAAGAAAGCCAGAGAUAUUUUGUACAAGGAUUAUCACAGUGACAAGAAAUUCACUAUCAGCACUUACUCACUUACUGGAGUUGUGAGUUCGUUUGGAUUUAUUUUAGUUUUUAAAAUCGUAUUUCAUUAUUUAUCUUGUUCAUUUACUAUCAGCAACUUGAUUUUCUACUGGUUAUUCAGCAUAUAGUGAGAUCGGGAAAGGACAAGAGAGAUUCAUAUUUAUUGGAGAGAGAAGUUGAAAACUUGCAGGUUGUAUAAAGUCUGAUGCUAAAUUAAUUGCCAUUCUUGUAAGUAGGUUGACGUGUGACUACCAAUGUGGUUUGUCACUCAUGUAUUCCCGACAUUUUCGACAACAUCUUUAAUAUACUUGUCAAUUUAUGCAAAUGUUUGAUUACUGGC